rnacentral:rRNA from 1 species
AGGGAACGCUGGCGGCAGGCCUAACACAUGCAAGUCGAGCGGAUGAAGGGAGCUUGCUCCUGGAUUCAGCGGCGGACGGGUGAGUAAUGCCUAGGAAUCUGCCUGGUAGUGGGGGAUAACGUCCGGAAACGGGCGCUAAUACCGCAUACGUCCUGAGGGAGAAAGUGGGGGAUCUUCGGACCUCACGCGAUCAGGGGAGCCUAGGUCGGAUUAGCUAGUUGGUGGGGUAAAGGCCUACCAAGGCGACGAUCCGUAACUGGUCUGAGAGGAUGAUCAGUCACACUGGAACUGAGACACGGUCCAGACUCCUACGGGAGGCAGCGGUGGGGCCUCUUGGGCGCUGGUCGCGUGCCUGCUCCCGCCCUGCCGCGUGUGUGCCGCAGGUCUUCGGAUUGUAAAGCACUUUAAGUUGGGAGGACGGGCCGUACGUUCCUACCUUGCUGUUUUGCCGUUCCCCGCCGCAUCCGCCCCGGCUCCCUUCGUG